GUUGUCUCACGUUCUGAGAUAAAGACGAGGAGGACAGGAAGAAAGACAAGAGACCAGGUGAGGACAGGUACUCUACUCUCCUUGACGCCAUUUGAUAGAAAAGUCUGUGGGACCACAGAGAGCCUAGGGAGGUCGACCUGUCAGUGAAGCCCCUCCCACCUCC